AAGAAAACUUUAGUACUGAUUGUCAUGUCCAUCUGCUGAAGUGUUAUAAUAUCUUUGCAUGUACUGUCUGAAAAUUGGAUCCUGUGAAGUACCAGUAAGAAGGCACUGAGAAUCCUGUCUGUCAGAUUUAGACUAGCCUACUCUUCAAAAGGUGCAAAAAUUCAAAGAAUUCUUACAGGAAAAGGAACCUUUUACUGUUUUGGCAGUCAUGGUUUUAUUGGCAUUUCUGACUUAACAUUUUUCAACUCGCUUCAUCCUGCUUUGUUCAAACCAGAGGAGAUCUUGAGAGACUCUGAUUCACAGGAAGACAAAUCCCUCGAUUUUUCCUGUUUGAUUUCUGAUGAGCAGUGUUGAUGAAGCCCCAUAAUCCUGAAGCUGCAGCUGGCACAGAAAAUCAGGGAUGAUGACUCAACCACUUCCCUGGCCAGCCUGUUCCAAUGCCUGACAACCCUUUCCAUGAAGAAUUUUUUCCUAAUAUCCAAUCUAAAUCUCCCCCAGUGCAACUUGAGGCCAUUUCCUUUCAUCCUAUCACUUGUUUCUUGGAAGAAGAGACUGAUACCUACCUUUCUACAACCUCCUUUCAGUCCUUCCUUCUUCGGACUUCUAUUGGAUAGCCCAGGACAUGCUGCUAAUGCUGCUUCAAAACCACUACCUUUUUAAUGCCAAAAGAUACCUUCAGGAGCAGAAAACAUAGUUAAGACAACAUAUAGAGAAAACGCAGAACUGGGACUUGGAGGAUACAGAUUCCACUAGAGUGUCUUGCAACACCUUCCUGAAAGAGGAAAAGUAAUUUACAGCUCUACCUUCAUUGCUCUGCUCAGCAAAGUCCAAGGACAAACGCAGAAAAUCCAGGAGGCUGUUUGGCUGCAGGUUGCAAGGAGCCACCAGGAGGAGCUGACUGCCUUAAGGAGAAGAUCAGAGUUCCAACAUGGCCACGCUCUUGAAGGGGAAGCACUGAAUACACAGCUCAUUUAUCAAGGCAAAAUUGUUUAACUAUGACCUUAAGCACAUGCUGCUGCUUGUUAGUUUAACUGAAGCUACAGAAACAUGAUAAAAGGCACUUAACCCCCAGAGAUCACAACAGACAGUGGCAGAAAGGAUCAAGGUCAGCAAUAAUGAAGCUGGAGUGAUGGUGAAGACCAAAGGCAGUCUAGUCUAGGCCUAAGAGAGAAAAGCUUUCAGUGGCUUCAUUAAACUGUGUCAUUUACCAUGCAACGCAACAUGAAAAAGGCUCUUCUGGUGUAAAUAAAGGGUGUUCAGUACACACCAUUCUCCCUUACUGAAGUCUGCUCACCUCUGCCCCAGAGUUCAUGUCUCAUAUGCUUUGUGUAUCUCCAUUUACUAAUGAGAAAAAGGUAAAAACCACAGAUUUUAUCCCUCCUUUCUUCCUGGGAAAUAAAUUUAAAAAAAUGACCAGCACCUUGGGAUUUAGGCAUAGAAGAGUACACAGUUCACUGGAGAAAAGGCGACUGGGGAAAAAUUGGAGCGUGGUGAACUUCCAGAACUUGGUCUUGCACAUGACAAAUUCUUCCUACUUGCUGUGUCAUCGAUCCAUUCACCAAAAAAUGGAAAAAUUUGUUUACUAAUUUUUCUAAGAGGAAGACUAUUUUUCUAUACAGUGACCUGCUAAGUCUCAGCCAAUGUAAGUUGGACCUGUUGGAGAUGAUACUUCUCCCACUGUCAUGCCUUCACCUCACAAAUUUGCAGGGCAGCACCCAGCACCCAUGCCCCAUUAGUGGUCACACCGGCACACAGAGCACAGCUGACCCUUCACCCAUGAGGUAAGCGGGACCGUGUGGAAUUUCACAAAAUCAGGAGUGUGUGCUUACUAAUGAGGUGCAGAGGCCACGGAACACCAUCCUACACUCUCUUUCCCUUUGUCAGUGGUUUAAAUCCACAGCCCUUCCUCUGUGAUGGGGCUCACCUUGGCCACCACAUAAGGUGAAUCUCGACACCAUUUUUAGACAAUCAUCCUGAAACAUGUGUCCUUGUCCUCAGACUGGAGAAGAGGUGCCCCACGCACUGGAAACCAGGAACUCUGACAGGUCCACAUACCUGAGCCUUCUCAAGCCUUCCCUUGUCCAUCAGUGCUAAACAAAAUAUGAAUACCAGCGGUGGAUCUCCACCCCGAGAGAUGCAUGCGUCCUCAAGUUCCUCCUCAAAAGAGUUGCAGCCAUGCUGAACUUGAAAGCCACAACGGCAACAAAGGAUAUAUUAAUCUACUAAGGAAUACGAACACUUCAAGAAAAACUUGAGAAUGAAGGACUUAAUGCAAUUCAUACAGCUGCCAGGAGCAUGAGGGUAAGUCAUUCCAAGGAUAUUGGAAGAAAUGAGGCAUGAAAUAAAAGCUUUCCUUCACUCUCUGCUGAUCCUCAGGAAUGUAAGGCGGCUCACUGUGUUAAAGAGAAGCAUCCAGGCAUUAAGUAAGGCACUAGAACAGAAAGGAGGAAACUGUGCCAGGGGAGAUUUAGGCUGGAUAUUAGGAAAAGGUUCAUCACCCAGAGGGUGGUGGAGCACUGGAACAGGUUCCGCAGGGAGGCAGUCAGGGCCCCAAACCUGACAGUAUUCAAGAAGCAAGUGGACAAGGCCCUCAGGCACAUGGUGUAAAAUUUGGGGUUGCCCUGUGCAGGGACAGGAGUUGGACUUGCUGAUCCUUGUGGGUCGCUUCCAACUCAGGACAUUCUAUGAUUCUCUGUGUGACACACCUCCCUGAGCUAUCAUUCUGAGUUCAUGAUGAUGAGAUCUACAAGAAGUCUCACAUGCUAUUUCUCUUCUUGUCAUUGCCAGAGGUAUUAAAAAUCGAGAUUUUUACAAGAUUUAAGAAAGCUUUUUCUUUUUGCCCUUUUUUAAAAAAAAAAAAAAAUAUUUCAUGAACUGGGUGUAUGCACUGACAGUGUUACAAAUAAUUAAGUAUUGGUCAAUUCUCUGUUCUUAAUAUCAUGAGUCAUACUAAUUAAAUUAAUCAAGUAGAUCAAUCUGAGCAGUGCUCCAGCUUUUCAUGAACAAAAGCUGAAGGACUCUAAAUAGCUUGUACUGAACAGCUUCCUGUAGAAACAAAGUGGGAUUUUUCCAUUUAACACUGGAAUUUUCUUUUCAUCUGAAGGCAAAAAACUUUCUGUAUUUUUCACUCUUGUCAAAAAUAGUUGUGCUGUUGGCUCAGUAGGCUCACAUGACAAAGUGACUUAGAAAAAUGUUGCCAUAGAUUGAUAGCGGAAGAGACUUUGGAUCUGGAGGAUUCAGAGAUGUAGCUCUGAAGACAUUAAGACUACACUAAAGGAUAGUAACUGUCCUGAAAGGAAGAUUGGCAUAUUGGUGUCAUCGUUGUCUCUUCCAUUAAACUGCAACAGGAAAGGCAAUACUGCAGUAUUGAUUUGACCAGCAUGAUUAAAUCCAGCUUUAACAUUAUCUACCCAUCAAACCAGAAAUCCUCAUCUUAGUUAUCCAAAUGGUAGAAGUCCUUUACAUUUCAGCAAUAUGAUCUAACAUUGUAGAGUUAUUACAAGAUACAUAGCAAAUGUGUAUUUUUCUAGUUCUUUUCUUUUCAUACCUACUUUGUAAUACUACUACAGAAGCAAAAAUAAGAGAAGGUGUUUGAGUUGUCUUUCCAAAGACCAGCUGUUGAAAAAUUAACAUUCUUGGUGUGGAGAGUAACAUACCUCAAAAAAAGAAAGAAAAAAAAUCUAUAGAUAGACAGAUAGAUAGAUAAAUAUAGAUAUGUAAUAUGUUGCCCAUUUCUGGAAAUGUGGAUUUCAACAUCAGAACAGAUCUGGACAACAGGCUAUGACUUGUACUAAGAAUACUACACACAUCUAUAUAGUUUCAGAGUACUACAGUUUUUUAAAAGUUUAAAUUAAAUGUGUUGUCUGUGACAAACACUAGUUUGUAACUCUCAAAGACUAACUUAACAGUUUACUGUAUUAUCGUAAACAGUGUUCAAAUAAGAUAGCUUUAAAGAAUCAUGCUGUUGUUUGUCAUAAAGUGUAUUUUCAGUAAUCAAUACAUAAAUUAUGUAUUAAAGGUACAUAGAUUUUGAUCAAUUCACAUUGGUCUGAAUUGCAGUUUUCUUAAGACCACAGACAUUGUAAAAAUAUUCUAGAUAUACUAAAAACUGCUUGAACCUUUUUCAUUGUUUCUUAGUAAGGCACAUACAGCUUUUUAUUAAAUUAUUUUCCAAAUGUUAUUUUGUAAAGAAAUUUAAUAAAAUUUACUACUCUGCAAUCCAUUGAGCACUUCCUAAUUUAAUUUUCAUAUUCUGCAUUUCCUGGGAUUUACAAUUAAAAUUGUGAUGAGCCAGACAUUCAAAGUCUUACAUGUGUGAGAUUUUAUUUUCCUUUUUUUUCAGCAGAACGAUACCAAAAGAAUUUUGGUAUUAUAAAAUAUUUUCAAAACAGAAAAAGUACAAGCAAAUGGCGUCUUUCUACGUAGGUUGUGAAGUGUUUACUAAGUUUGACAAAUAUUUUCUUCUCUUCUUACUUCUUUACCCACUCAACUGUUGGCAAAGUUGACUGUUUAUGUCAAUGCCAGAUACAGUUAAUAAAAAAUAAUAGAUCUGACAUCUUAUACUCUCCAACAUUGAUCAGAUAAAAUUAAAAAAAAAAAUAAUCCCAUUCUCCAGAACAGACAUAGCCAUUAAAAUUCUUGCAUAUUUAUUUACAUAAAACUCAGCAUGUGUGUAACCAAGAAUGAUCCAUUGUGUUUUCAAGUUAGUUCAUUUUACUACUAUUUUAUUAUGCAGAGUUCUUGGAUAUCACUAGAGAUAAAUAUAGUUAUUUCUUUUAUAGUAAUAUUUUUUUCUUUUAAGAGGCUUCAAGCUUUACAGCCAAGUUUGCAUUCAUUCUUUAGCCCAGUUUCUAAAAUAAUGGGUUAUUGUUGUGCAGAAAAAGCAACACUCCAAACCUUCAAGGUAGUGGGUCACCUGUACGUUCUUAUGGUCAUGCUAGAUACAAUCAUUUCUCCUAUCUUGAGCUUGGUAAGGAUAUUGAACUAGUCCCUGAGCAGAGUCCUUCUGCUCUAAAAGCAGCAAAUGCAAAAAUACUUUGGUUUACUCAGGGAUUCAGUCAAAAUUAGUUGUAGAGGACCUGCAGCAGCACCUUUCAGUUUAUGUUCUAAGCCUCCAUCAUCUUCAUGUAUAGAGGCCUCUCCUCAAAUUUUUGCAGUACUUUAAAUUGAGAUUACAUUGUGUGGUUAUAAAGUGGCUUCUCUUUAGGCAUUUACUGGAGAAAAUAACAUGCCUAAUGUAUAGGAGGAUGCAUCUGAGAAUUGAGAGCCUUCUAGAACGCACACCAUGAGGCAAAAAUACAGGUUUUGUCACUGUCACUAGGAAGACAUCACAAAUUGUCUCCAAAAACUGUAAAAUCACACAGGAUAGUGCAGCACCAGAGAAGAUGUAAGCUUAGAGGGCUUUGUAGUUUAGCUGCUGUUAUGAAAUAACAUUUGUUAUAAAAAAACAAGUGUAUUUUAAGAGCUGUAGGUCUACCUGCUCUCCUCAGCACCAAAGGUCAAUACCCUUACCAAUGGCUUUCUGUCAGCAGUGUGUUGUUUCCCCAUGUAUUUAAUAGAGGAGGAGUGGAAGAAGAGUCCCAGCCAUCUGACGAGGGAUGUCUUGGCACAACGGGGUACAGCUGGUCCUCUCUGAUGCAGGACCUCGCCCAUGGCUGGCUAAAUUUGGCUGUAUAAUGGGAAAUGGUGCCAGAAUUAAUAAUGUACAUGAGUACAUAAUGUAGUCUCCACUGUCCCGUGUCUAGGCUUUCCAGUCCACUUUCAAGAUCUGUUAUAAUAGGCAAGCUUGCUGAAUAAACAGAGGAAAAAAGAAACAAAACCAAACCACAAAACAAAAUAAACAACAACCACUACAAAAAAGACAUCUCAGGCAAUACAGGUUAUACUAAUUAGGGCCUAAUAAAACAAGUUACAAUUUCAGCUACAAUUCUUAAAUUCUUAGUAAUAUUGACAGCAGACUGUGGCUGCUUUUAACUAAUUUUCCGGUUAAGAAUAAUCUUUGAAUGGAUCCUAAACUUUGUCUAGAAUUUACAGAGUUGAUGUCAAUAUAAAGGGUUUGCAAGCAGUUUGCAAGGAAGACAAGAAACUGCAUCAUACUUGUGCUAGAUUUCAUUACUGAGUAGCCUUUGGUCUGCAAGGAAGUUUUCACCCCCAGGAUUUUCCAAGAGAUAUGACAUCUACCAAGGAGAUGACAUAUGAUAGAGAAAUAGGAAAGCUGGGGGAGCAAAAUCUUCACUAGCAAGUGACCAUUCGUAUUACAUAUUAAAAGGAGAAGAAACUUUUUGUCCAUCUGUAAUCACCGACAGAGGACAGCUGCUCCUAAUACUCUCUGAGUGGGACCUUUCAUAUGACCUUUCAUAUCUAAAUAACAACAGCACUGUCUGUUAGAGGAAAUCAUGGUCUUCAAUAUUUCUCUUUCAGCUUUCCAUAAGCCUGCUAAUAUAAAUUCUCAAGGAGUUAUACUGGCAAGCAAUUAAAAUGAAAUACUAAUUGGUACUAAAAAAAAAAAAAAAAAAGACUGUGCAUGCAGAAUAUAACUCACUUCUAGCAUAUUUCACAAUACAUUUAUUCAAUGAAGAAAAGCAUUCCUCUAGCCAGCAAAGUAAAUUUUCUGAUCUCCAAAUGGACAUUUCAUCCUCUUCUAGCCUGAUCUUCUGGUGGCAUCAUGAAUUUCGUGGACAGCUUGGUUAAUCAGCAAAGUGCUCCAGAAGAGAGAGCUUUCUUGGCUAAAAAGUGAAGUUACUAUUUCUAAGUAUCCAUGUCUAAAACUCCCCAAACAUCUCUCUUGAUCUAACAUUCCUACACCAUCAUUAUAUUUACAGUGUGCAAGAAACUAAGGUAGGGUAAGUAGUUCAGAUAAUAUCAGUUAGUUCAGACUACAGUUUACAAGGACUAUAUCAGGGUUGGGUGUUUUUAAAAGUUACGUAUAUUACCUUUUUAUCCAUCUCAAUGUUCCUGUGGCUUUGCUUUCAUGUUUCUCAAGUUUUUGCUGAAAUUUCUGACAGUGUUACAGCAGAUGAAUAGAAACUUAAAUUGUAUUCCACAUGCCAAUGAUCUGCAAAAUAAAAAAUGUUUCGAGAUAUGUGUUUCCAUUGAAUUACUGACUUUAACCUUUUUUUUUCUUCUUUUUUUGUGGCUGUGAUUUACUGGUGAAUGCUGGCAUUCUGAUCUUCUGCUGUUAACUUAAUAUGAGCGUUGACACUAAGCAGUUCUAAGAGGAACUUUUCAACUUGGAACUAGGAAAAAUGUUUGUAUCUGAGAACAUCAAAAUAAAGUGGUUACAUAUGCUUAUAUAAAA